GAUGAACGCUGGCGGCGUGCCUAAUACAUGCAAGUCGAGCGAACGGACGCGAAGCUUGCUUUUCUGAUGUUAGCGGCGGACGGGUGAGUAACACGUGGAUAACCUACCUAUAAGACUGGUAUAACUUCGGGAAACCGGAUCUAAUACCGGAUAAUAUUUUGAACCGCAUGGUUCAAAAGUGAAAGACGGUCUUGCUGUCACUUAUAGAUGGAUCCGCGCUGCAUUAGCUAGUUGGGAAGGUAACGGCUUACCAAGGCAACGAUGCAUAGCCGACCUGAGAGGGUGAUCGGCCACACUGGAACUGAGACACGGUCCAGACUCCUACGGGAGGCAGCAGUAGGGAAUCUUCCGCAAUGGGCGAAAGCCUGACGGAGCAACGCCGCGUGAGUGAUGAAGGUCUUCGGAUCGUAAAACUCUGUUAUUAGGGAAGAACAUAUGUGUAAGUAACUGUGCACAUCUUGACGGUACCUAAUCAGAAAGCAACGGCUAACUACGUG
rnacentral:rRNA from 1 species